GGAUGGGAGGGCGAUCUAGCUGCGACAUUUGUCACCCCAUUGAUCUCUAGGGUUGAUUCGGCUGAUCUGGCUGGCUAGGCGGGUAUUCCCUUCCUCUUUUACUGCUCCAUGUGUGUUCCUCCCGAAGCUGCACGUUUAAGAGGAUGACCAUCCCCAAUACAGGAGGACCAUUCUUCGGUCAAGGGUAUAUGAGUAGCUGCGCUCCCCUGCUAGAACUUCCAAAUAAGCUCUCAAAGUAAUUCAUUAGCACCACCUCCUUCAGAACCCAUUUUGAUAUUGUCUAAGACAAAGGGAGAAAAGCAUAGUAUCUCCGUUAUUCUCAAUGUUUUU
rnacentral:snRNA from 1 species